rnacentral:rRNA from 1 species
GUACGGGAGGCAGCAGUGGGGAAUUUUGGACAAUGGGCGCAAGCCUGAUCCAGCCAUGCCGCGUGAGUGAAGAAGGCCUUCGGGUUGUAAAGCUCUUUCGGUGAAGACGAAACGGUUAGCGCUAAUAACGCUGACUAAUGACGGUACUCACAGAAGAAGCACCGGCUAACUACGUGCCAGCAGCCGCGGUAAUACGUAGGGUGCAGGCGUUAAUCGGAAUUACUGGGCGUAAAGCGUGCGCAGGCGGUUUGCUAAGACAGGUGUGAAAUCCCCGGGCUUAACCUGGGAAUUGCGCUUGUAACUGGCAGGCUAGAGUGUGGCAGAGGGGGGUGGAAUUCCACGUGUAGCAGUGAAAUGCGUAGAUAUGUGGAGGAACACCGAUGGCGAAGGCAGCCCCCUGGGUCAACACUGACGCUCAGGCACGAAAGCGUGGGGAGCAAACAGGAUUAGAAACCCCGGUAGUCCC